ACCGGAGCGUUGCUUGCCUGCUGCUCCGCCCGCCCUUUGCCACACCCUCUUCCUCUCGCUGUGCCCGGCUGCCAUACCUCCCAUAAGUGUGUCCUCCCUCCUCUGUGCCUCCCACUCACCUCUUUUCCCUCGUGGUCCGUGUAGCCCCACCACCACACACACACACACACACACAGCACUUCCGCAGCACCCACGCGUCUCCCCACCCCCCACCCCCCCCACGUACCCGCAUCUGUGCCGCAGGCAUGGCGGCUGAGACGAAGCCACCGCUGCAGCAGCAGCAGCAGCCGAACGACACCCAUCCGCCCCAAAUCGCAGUGCGGAAGCAGGGCACGUAUGAGCGGGGCAGGUGGUCCACGCGCAUUCUCACCAUCGACGUCGACGCCGGCAUGGUCACCAUCAGCCGAAAGAGCAAACCGCAGGACGUCUUGUACCGCUCCCUCCACGUUCAGAAGGUGGAGAUGUGGCCGCGCUAUAGCCCGUACGCGAUCGAAGGCAGCUAUGACUCCUUGAAGGCGAAGAUGGUGUUGUGUAUCACAGGCACGGAAGUCACCCUCACAAAUCACGGCUCCUCCGUGGGCAAUUUUCUGCGGAGUAAUAUCGGGUCACUCAUCUCUGCGUCCAUAGCCGCGGAAAACUCGGCUUGGUCGGCGAAACCCUCGAAGCGCGUCGGACUGAAAGAGGUCUUUUCGAAGAGAAACCCUAUGUUUGCCACAAUUCCCUCGAACUCCGCCGCCACGGAUAGCUCGACUAUAACGUGGCUCAUACAAUUCACCUCUAUUGAGUCCUAUGAGCUUGCCGUGAUGCUAUUCAUGCGGUUUAAGAAUGAAGGCGGGUCGAGGCGGAAAGUCUUUUCGAACAACGUGGCGGCAGACCUGGCGUGCGUGAAGGAGGCGUGGGUAAACCAUGCGGCACGCUUUAAAACCGCCACUGACACCGACACCUCUUGAAAGGAGCGCGUGAGUCUUUGCCCUUUUACUCUGAUUAUCUUCUUUGGGUCCAGCCCAGGUUGGCUUGGUGAGCUGGUUUUCUUGCACUCGCCCUGCCUCUCCUUGCACUGGUCUCGUCGCCGUUGCUGCCUCGCUUCACUAUCAUAUCUGCUUCACUGUCGUUUUUUUUCUCCUGUUUUUGGUUGUGUUGUUGUGCCCAUCCCCUCUCGCCUGCCCCCCCCCUCUGACGUGGUUCUUAGCUGUUUGUGGUGGCUUUCGGACUUUCGCCUUCCACACGCUUCACGCCUCUCUUCGCUGACCCCAUCUGCCCACGGCAAAACGAUUGGAGGGCGAGGCACUAAACACGAAUGACACACACACACAUACACGCAGGACUACACGGCCAUGGCAGGUGCUUGUACCUUUAUUGCUUCCGCUGUGCUCUUGUGAUUAGCUUCAUAUUGUGCUGCUGCUGAUGCUGCAUCUCUGCUUCUCUUUGUCGUCAGCGCGUGCGACUGCAGGCCAACUUUCCGUCGCGUUGAAACACAGGAACCCAACGAUGUGUGUCCUUUCUCGAGGCAUCUGAUGCAGCCACCCCCCCCCCUUCCUCGGCUCUUACGCUUCUUCCAUGUUUUUUGUUGUGUUUGAUUCCCACGCUUGUGCGUCACUCUUUUCCUCUGCGUGUGCGUCCGUUCGUUUCCCCUCUCCUCACCUUGUGCCCGUUUCGAAUGCCUCUCGCCUCGAUUUCGCCUCGUGCCCUCCCCAUCCCUCCCCGUCGUGGCCGAUGACGUCCGAUACAGUUGAGCGCCACACGACCCCGCAGUUGUAGUACGCAUGGGGUGGGUGGGUCGGCGUGUUUUUUCUCGUGCGAGUGUGCCAACUGCUGGCGACUUCAUUUUUCUUUUUCUUCUAAUGUGUGCAAUGACUUUUUGUCGACCAUGAGCAUGCGUUUACAGAUUUUUGUUUUGCUUUAACCUCCCUUUAAGUGGAGAUGGCCACGCUUCUGUGCGGAAUCCUUCAAGGAUCAGCCCUAGGCUCUCUUCCCUUCACUGUUGUCGUAAGCUUACUGACUAUGGAACGCAACAAGACACCCGUAAUGCACCACGCCAUCUGUGCUCAUCACACCACACUCCCCACAUCGUCCGCGGGCAAGGAUGUCAUGCAGGCCGCGCUACGAUUCGCCUUCUGGAAGGUGGCGCGCUGGGCACUGGAGCACGCCAUGCAGCGGGGUGAGCAUCCCCCAACACAAGGCGCGCACUCGCCGGUGCGCGGCACCGCAACCAGCAGCAGCUCUCCGCUGCACGCACGUGCCUAGAGGAGCAUCGCCACCCCCGUCUUCUCCGCGUGCACAGCCAGCCCACGCCCCCGCCACAGGUCAACAAAGUACCCACGACUCGGCCUGCCGAGGGCAGGGAGGUCUGCCCGCACAAAUGCGGUCCGUCAAAGGAUCUCCUCCGCUACUCCUAAAUGGCACGGCUGGAGUCAGUGUUGCUCCACGGUGCCGCCGCAUGGUCGGAUGGUGCUGGUCGGCAACUGCACGAGGGCCCCUGUGCAGCUUCACGCCAAAGCAGCCGCAGCCGCAGCGGAUACUCCGAAAUACGCACACAGCAGACACACCCACUCGAAGAUGCCGAGCCCCUGCGCCCUCCCCCUCACCCGUCGAUUCCAUAGCGCUGUUGCGCCACACCUAUCUGCAUCCGUCCGCGGCCAUGCCAGGAGGCCGCCUUGCGCACUUGGUAUGGGGAUGGGUGCACGCGCCGCAUGGCGGUGUCGUCACAACGCCUCCGUAGCUCUCACGCCGCUGUGCAGGCAUCGACACCCCUCGGAGUCCCGCACGUGCACACACCCGCCAUGCGCAGUCUUCGCCUGUACUUCAACGCAUCCAUUCUCUGGCGGGCUGCGGGCAGACUCUCCAGACCAAGAGAAAGUCACGGCGUGCAAGUACCAACUCGCCUGCUUUGUGAAGCUCCCUUGUUCGCUGUGGACAGACAGUCUGGUACAGGCAGGCAUCAAGUCAGGAGCGGCUGCCAUGGUUUAUCAUAAUAAUACGCCCCCAUGUACACGGUAAAGGGACUGUGGCCCCCUCGCUUGCAGCUACCGCGGUGAGAUUCAAGCAGCGUGGCUGGGACCUGAUCUGCUGCGACGACAACCUGAUCCAGGCAGGCAGGCAUGCACGCGAGCAAGUUUGGCUGUCGCUACGGACUCGCUCUCGCUCCUCAUGGCGCUCCGCACAGGCCCCACUAAAGGGUCGAAGGGGGCCCAUGCUGCGACGUAUCUGGGCACAAGUGCUGGCCCCACUGGCCUGUCGUGUGCGCCUCUCGUUUCACUUUAUGCGUGGCGAUUGCCGAUGAGAACAUCACGGCGAAGUUGACAAGUCUGCCGAAUCGGCAGUGGCCAGAGGCGCCGGCACCAACUUCACGCAUUGCGGCGUCGGCCACACUGGCCAGAGAGGCCAGGCCGGCAUCCCUCAAGGCAGCGCUACACGACGCGAAAUACUGAGCCAAGAGGAUCCUGGCGGCAGCCCUCCCGCACCAGCGCAAAUUGCAUACUCACCUCACGAGACGACAGGCGACCCUCCUCGUCCAGCUCUGCACGGACACCUGCCCGUACUUUGGAUUGCUGCAACAGCGGGUGGCAGGGCGUGACAGCAUGAAGUACAGGUACUGUGCUUCGUUAUGAGGGAGCCUCACCCGGCAUUGUGCCCGAUAUGCUACGCGAGAUGCGCGGAUCGUUUGAGCCUUGAAACGCAGCGCAAGUUACGCUGCCCGUGCAUGCCAUGAUGCGAUUAGGCCGAUCUCAAAUGCGCUCUAUGAGCUUAUCGUGACGUGUCUCUGUGGCUGGCCCUCCUGGGCCCCGCUCCAGGGAGACAGACUGCGAGCUCUUUGUGCGCACGCGCUGUCAAGCACCGCCGGCACGGCGCCUCGCAUCCGAAGAAAGCAUGCAGAGGCGCGAAGAGACGCAUGCGAGCGAGCCGCCGUGUGCAUGUGCGCGGAGCAUGCGGAACGUCCCCCACCCGGCCGUGUGGGCUGCUGAGGCACAGAUGCCCGGGGGGGGCAUGACGCGAGCACCCCGAAUGGCAGCAUCGAGUCGUCCGGGCACCCAUAUGGAGAGUCUCCACACCGUACUAUGGCAUGCCGCUGCUUGAGGCGACGGAGGGCGCGAGGGAGGGCACACAGGCGGAGCACAGGGCCUCCAGGGGGCCCUGGCCUGCGGCUGCCCAACUGAUUCCGUGAGCCCGUGCGGCAUGCACCGGGGCCACCACCACCCCUCUACUACGCGCACGGCGGACGCCGGUGCCUCCGCCCUUGAGCAGGGCCCUGGACGCUGCCCGCGUUGGGUCCAGGCGCGCAGUGCACCCAGGUCGGUCUGGUGCCGGUGGCGCAGCACGCGUGCGAGGGAGGCGCGAGGAAGAACAAGAAGAGACCGUGAGACGCAUGCCCCCGCUUCGGCGGCAGCUGUCUCGCCCUAGGCGGGAGGGAUCGAACCGCAGCUCGACGGAGGGCGUCUGCGCUGUGUUUGUGUGUAUGCGCGUAUGUUAUUAGACCUGUUCGUGGCGGCAGGAACAAGCUAGACAACCAAAGACCUGCUCGGUUCCCUCGCACUGGCUCUUCCCGUCUUUUUUUUUCGGUGUUGGUGCCCGCCAUCUGUUUUGGUUGCUCUCGGUGUGUUUGGGGCCGUCUUCGCACUGCCGAGGAUCUUUUCCCCUUUUUGUCGUUGUUUCGUUGCUGCCUCUCGGAUUUAACGGAAUGAGACACAAGUCUCCCAGAGUGCCUUUGACUUCUUGGAGACUGCAUGACGAGCAUGACAGCCACGGCCUUUAGCAGCGGAGCUGCUGUGCCUGUGAGGAGGUGGGAAGAAAGGUGUGUUAUGCUGCCACAUCCGCUCUGCCGCCAUCCCUGCUCUGUCCUUGUGCCGUGGUCCUCCGACUAAAGACAAUAUCUGAAGGAGCGCGUAGUUGCGGCUCCUUACUGGAAUGGGGAUAUCCGCUCCCUGUCUCGUGUGUGAGUGUGUGUGCGUGGUGCUCGUGUUGUGAACUGAAGCGAAUUGUGAUCGCAGUGGCUGUCUGCUCUUCGACUUACAUCGUCCAAUGCAGGUACCUUUGGCUGUCCAUGCACAGAAACAGGUCGCGUCUUUGUAUCCAUGCUUGGGCGUGCGUGUCUGUCUCACAUGUCGUGCCUGGGCCCGUUCCAGUUAGCGUGUGUGCGUGUGUGGGUGGGCAACGCAGUCGGUUUCUCUCUUUCUUGAAGGUGCAUGAGGCUGAGGCUCGCUAUAGUCUGUACGCGUCGCGUUCUGCACCUCUCGCUCUUGUGUGCGAAAAAAAAAAGGUGAGAGGAUAAGCUCAGGAGUAGGCGGUCGCUCUCUGCCUUCGAUCCCUUUCGGUGUUCGAACAUAUCUCAUGCCACCACCACCACCCCACCCCCACACACACUAGAGCACGAAAACAACACCCGCUGAGUCGUCCCUCAAUUGCGUGUUUUGUCUUCUCUGUUCUCAGAGGUCCUGUGUCGGAUUGGAAGGGGUAAAAAGAAAUUUAUUUUUUUUUCUCUAUAGACCACCACCAACAUCACGAUGACAGCACGCUUGCUUGGUUGCCCAAUGCACCGCUGCUGUCUUCCAGCGAUUCUCUAAAAUCUGUCUUCGCUUUCUCUCUCUCGCUGUUUGGGCGACUUCUCUCGUCCCCUUUUCGCUCCGCCUGAACUUGCCGCCAUCUCUCGCUGUCGCCCCCGUUACGCGUGCUCGUCUUCUGCGUCUUCUGUCACUCCCCUCCUCCUCCUCCUCCCUGCAAUGUCGUCAUCCUUUUAUGUCCUUGUUUUGUCUGUCCCUCCCCAUCCCGCCGACAUCUAAUGACGUUACAGUCCUUUUCACCUUUUUGUUUUCUUGUCCUCUUGUUGUUUCGCGCCGCCGCUGCUUGCCACCGCCUGCCACUGCCUGCCUCUCAACUCUCUGCUCCUCUUCCUCUCCCCUUUUCGGGUUUGUGUGUGCGUGUGUGUUCUUUGCGUGUCGGCCUAUUGCCAUGGGCCUCCUUUCGUCUCCUCUGUUUGUGUAUUGGGCGGAUGAGGGGGUGCGGUGGGGGCCUCUCCCGUGUAGCCAUGUGCUCUGCUAGGCCGGGUCUCUUGCGUGGUGUGUGCGCUGAUGUCCUGUACACCUGCUAUGAUCGCUGUGUGGCCAUUCCUUUGGUUGUUUGCUGUCAUUGCUGUAUGCGUGUGUGCGGGUUUUGUGCCUGUGGAACCUU
rnacentral:misc_RNA from 1 species